rnacentral:rRNA from 1 species
GAGUUUGAUCGUGGCUCAGAGUGAACGCUGGCGGCAGGCCUAACACAUGCAAGUCGAACGGCAGCGCAGCAGUAGCAAUACUGUGGGCGGCGAGUGGCGGACGGGUGAGGAAUACAUCGGAAUCUACCUUGUCGUGGGGGAUAACGUAGGGAAACUUACGCUAAUACCGCAUACGACCUACGGGUGAAAGCGGCGGACCGCAAGGCGUCGCGCGAUUGGAUGAGCCGAUGUCCGAUUAGCUAGUUGGCGGGGUAAAGGCCCACCAAGGCGACGAUCGGUAGCUGGUCUGAGAGGAUGAUCAGCCACACUGGAACUGAGACACGGUCCAGACUCCUACGGGAGGCAGCAGUGGGGAAUAUUGGACAAUGGGCGCAAGCCUGAUCCAGCCAUGCCGCGUGUGUGAAGAAGGCC